GCCCGAAUAGCAUGGUUGGUUAGAGCAUGAUGCUAAUAACACCAAGGUUGCAGGUUCAACCCCUGUAUGGGACA